CAUAACUCCCCCCAAACCCCCCCACAUCGCCCCAUAAACCGCCCCAUAAUCUCCCACAGCCUCUCUCAUCCCCCGAUUUUCCCUUUUAUUCCCCGCUUUUUCCCUUUUUCUCCUUAUUUUUACCCAUUUCUCACCUCCCUCAGCGCUCCCUCAGCGCCCGCCGCCUCCUCAGCUCCUCACGUCGCCCUCUCAUUGGUCGCUUCCCCCGUCCGUCCCGCCUGACAGCCAAUCAGCGCCCGAGUCGGGCCUCAGAGGGCGGGACAGCGCUUCUCCUCGCCCAUUGGUCUAGGCACACGUCCGUUUUAACUUUCAGCCAGUCAGCGCUCGAGUCCGUGUUUAGAAGGCGGGGCGCAUUCGCAGCCUGCAGGAGGGCGUAACGCACCGCGCCUUUCUAUUGGCUGUUCGCCUCGUCCAUCCCCUCCUCACAACCAAUCAGCGCCGGCAUCGCCACCAAGAAGGUGGAGAUUCCCCUUUUAACCAUCCCGCCACGCUCUACGCCCCCUCUAUUGGCUGCGCCCCGCGUCCAUCACUCCUCACAGCCAAUCAACGCCCGGAUCGCCCCUCGGAGGGCGGGGCGCGGGCGCCAUGUUGGGGCGGGCGCCAUUUUGGCGGCGACCCCCUCAGGGGUUCGAUGGACGCGGGGCUGCAGGAACGAGCGGCGGCGCUGCUGAGGAGGAGUGAAGCCGUGCUGAAGCAGCGCCCACAGACGCCCCGGACCCACACAGCCCCGCCCCCUAGUGGGCGUGGCCAGGAGCGUUGUGGGCGGAGCCUGGAGGAGGACCCACUGCAGCGCUGGAGGGCGGAAAGGAGGCGGGGCUUGGCGGAAGCCCCGCCCCUUGUGACGUCAGCGUGGAAGCGGAGCCAAUCCCUGGAGGCGGUGCGGGGGGCGGAGCCACGGCCCCGAAGGAACCAAUCCCAUGAGGACCUCUCGCCAUCGCCGUGGGGCAGCGCCGUGGGGCAGGAGGCAGCUGCCAUCGAACUGCUGCAGGAAGCACUGGAUUCGGACGAGGCGGAAGCGCCUGGGGAUGCGGUGCUGCGGGCGCUGCGGGAUCGACGGCGGGCGCUGCGGGGGAUGCUGAGAGCCGUGGAGACGCUGUUGGCCACCUCCGGACCCGAAGUUUUGGGACCACAGUAAAAGUUCUGCACCGUUUUGCCGCAUUUCUCCGUUUUUCACCCCAAAAUCCCCCAGAAUGGCGUCGGUCCCUCCGGACUACAAUUCCCAUCUGCCCCUGCGCGCUAAGCCACGCCCCGAAUGCUGCUGUCCAAUCACACUUCGGCUUAUAGCCACGCCCCCAAGCUACUGGCCAAUAAUACUUAGUUUUAGUCUCGCCCUGACACGCUGUCCACUGGCAUUUCCGGUUUAAGCCACGCCCCCAAAUAAUGCCCAACUACACUUCCUCUUUAGGCCACGCCUCCGCGCUUUUGUCCAAUCAGACUUCCGCUGCCAGCGACGCGCCAAACCUGCAAUGCAACGUUACUUCCGCUUUAAGCCACGCCCCCUGGGCUACAUCUCAUACUUCCGCUUUAAGCCCCGCCUCCAGACCCUACAGGUAGCGCACUUCCGCUCCAAGCCACGCCCCCUGCGUUUCAUCCCUCCCACUUCCGUUUCCCCAGCCCAACAUCUCCCCCACUUCCGCUGCAAGCCCCGCCCCCCCAGCCUACACUUCCCAUCAGCCCCCUCGCCGCCGCCGCCAUUUUGUCUCCUCCCCGCCUUCCCGCCCGCCGCCAUCUUGUCCCCGCCCCUUUCCCUCUCAUCCCCUCAUGGUGCCGCGAUGGCGGCGGUGGAGGCGGAGCUGCAGCGUUGGGCCCGGCACGAAAUGGGGCUCCCGGACGGUCCCGCACC
ensembl:lncRNA